UGGCUCAAUAGUAGAGCGUUCGACUCAAAUACCAAUGCUCGCGGGUUCGAAUCCCAC
rnacentral:tRNA from 1 species